rnacentral:rRNA from 2 species
AUUGACCUCGGAUCAGGUAGGGAUACCCGCUGAACUUAAGCAUAUCAAUAAGCGGAGGAAAAGAAACCAACAGGGAUUGCCUCAGUAACGGCGAGUGAAGCGGCAUCAGCUCAAAUUUGAAAUCUGGCUCCUUCGGGGUCCGAGUUGUAAUUUGUAGAGAGUGCUUCGGGGGAGAGUGCGGUCUAAGUCCGUUGGAACACGGCGUCAUAGAGGGUGAGAAUCCCGUAUGCGACCGCGGCUCGAGCCCGUGUGAAGCCUCUUCGACGAGUCGAGUUGUUUGGGAAUGCAGCUCAAAAUGGGUGGUAAAUUUCAUCUAAAGCUAAAUACUGGCUGGAGACCGAUAGCGCACAAGUAGAGUGAUCGAAAGAUGAAAAGCACUUUGGAAAGAGAGUUAAACAGUACGUGAAAUUGUUGAAA